UACAGAGGGGGCAAGCGUUGUUCGGAUUUACUGGGCGUAAAGGGCGCGUAGGCGGUCAGCACAAGUCAGUUGUGAAAUCUCCGGGCUUAACUCGGAAAGGUCAACUGAUACUGUGCGACUAGAGUGCGGAAGGGGCAACUGGAAUUCUCGGUGUAGCGGUGAAAUGCGUAGAUAUCUGGAGGAAUACCGGUGGCGAAGGCGGCAUCCUGGACCGAGAUUGACGCUGAGGAGCGAAAGCUAGGGGAGCAAACGGG
rnacentral:rRNA from 1 species